GAAGAAUAAGCAGGAACAACACUGCUGUGAGAAAACCAGCGAGAAGCCUUUCUCUGCCUCCAUAUCCAUUAGUGGAACCUUGGGAUACCAACACUUCCCACUGAAACCACCUGAAGGGAUGAGGAAUGGUCAUUCCCAGCAGCCCAGGAGCUGCCCUGGCUGUGCCAAUCAGGCUCUGUCAGAAGUCCUCCCGUGUACUCAACAGUAAGUUCCUGGCACCAGGAGGGAACGUUUGGUAAAAGUGCUCCCGUGCAAGCAGUGAACUCUCCACCGUGCUGUGCAGGACGCCCCUGGCAGCAGCAUCUUCUCCUCUCUGAGUUAAAACCCAGCUGAAUAAAUCUGAUGACAGCUAAGUCACCCAAAGCCCUGCUGGAUGCUCAAACAAAACAUCCUGUCUGUUUUCUACUAAAGUUGCUCUGAAUCACAGGGAGGUUUCCAUGAAAGUACAGCAAUGAUGGGGUUCUGAGCAGCCUGAUCUCUUGGAUGGUGUCGCUGGUUAUGGCGGGGAGUUGGAAUGAG